CGAGUGAAGCGGCAAAAGCUCAAAUUUGAAAUCUAGCACCUUCGGUGUUCGAGUUGUAAUUUGAAGAUGGUAACCUUGGGUUUGGCUCUUGUCUAUGUUCCUUGGAACAGGACGUCAUAGAGGGUGAGAAUCCCGUCUGAUGAGAUGCCCAUUCCUAUGUAAGGUGCUAUCGAAGAGUCGAGUUGUUUGGGAAUGCAGCUCUAAGUGGGUGGUAAAUUCCAUCUAAAGCUAAAUAUUGGCGAGAGACCGAUAGCGAACAAGUACAGUGAUGGAAAGAUGAAAAGAACUUUGAAAAGAGAGUGAAAAAGUACGUGAAAUUGUUGAAAGGGAAGGGCAUUAGAUCAGACUUGGUGUUUUACGAUUAUCUUCUCUUCUUGAGUUGUGCACUCGUAUUUCACUGGGCCAGCAUCGAUUCGGAUGGCAAGAUAAUGGCAGUUGAAUGUGGCUUCACUUCGGUGGAGUGUUAUAGCUUCUGCUGAUAUUGCCUGUCUGGAUCGAGGGCUGCGUCUUUUGACUAGGAUGCUGGCGUAAUGAUCUAAUGCCGCG
rnacentral:rRNA from 1 species